ACAUUAAAAACAGGACGUUUAGGAUACUCUUUAAAUCCUUAUAAAUCUUAAAGAGUGUCCCUUUAAAAAAGGGCUUUAUGAAGAAAGCACUCUAAGCUUUUCCAAUGAUUUAAGAUGAUACCGGGGAAGGUUUUCCGGUUUAUCCCGGAGGGCUUGUAGCUCAGUUGGUUAGAGCGCGCGCUUGAUAAGCGUGAGGUCGGAGGUUCAA
rnacentral:misc_RNA from 1 species